UAAGUGAUCUAGAAGCUUCUAUAUUCUUUUACACUUAGACCUCUUUCGUUAUCGCUCAUCCAUAUAUAAAUUUGACACUUCAAAAACAUAAAAAGUGUUUGUAGUUUAAUUCAUUGCUGUGAGUUUUUUAACUAAAUUGAAGUGUAUGUACAACCAUAUUUCCGUGUGGAAUGUUGUAUGGAUAGAUGUGUUCUUUGAAUUUAUCUUUUCCUGUCGGACUUCUGUUCUUGUCAUAGAACACGGACGAAAAUUUGUCACAUAUAAAUUUAUAAAGCAAGGAAAUUAUAUCCUAUUACAAAGACAUUGAGAAAAGAAACAAUUAUGUCAGAAUAUAGUUACAUCACACCUAUGUGUGACUGUCAUCAGGAUAAAAUUGCACUGGUACUCUGCCGCCACCAUAAGGAAUUGCUCUGCCUAAGCUGUGUAUUAGGAAGAGAGAAAUCACUAGAAUGUUCGAUCAUUGAAAUCCGAGAAGUUUCUGAAGAGAACGAUAUACUGAUGUUAGAAUGUUUAGUUGCUAAACAAAUGACAGUAAUGAAGAAACGGUUAAUAGACAAUCACGAAGGGAAAACAGAAACUGUAAAGACUAAUUUGGAAGAACAAGUAAUAGAAAUGCAUAGUAAACUAACACAGCGACUCGACGAAAUGAAAGAUAAUUGUCUUAAAUCAAUCGAAACACAAGCUAACGCAGUCAU
rnacentral:lncRNA from 1 species